rnacentral:rRNA from 1 species
AUUGAACGCUGGCGGCGUGCUUAACACAUGCAAGUCGAGCGGUAACAGGCGUAGCAAUACGUGCUGACGAGCGGCGAACGGGUGCGUAAUACAUGGGAAUCUGCCCUUUGGUGGGGAAUAACCCGGCGAAAGCCGGGCUAAUGCCGCAUAAGAUCUUCGGAUGAAAGCGGGGGACCGUAAGGCCUCGCGCCGAUGGAUGAGCCCAUGUCGGAUUAGCUAGUUGGUGAGGUAACGGCUCACCAAGGCGACGAUCCGUAGCUGGUCUGAGAGGACGGCCGGCCACACUGGGACUGAGACACGGCCCAGACUCCUACGGGAGGCAGCAGUGGGGAAUAUUGCACAAUGGGCGAAAGCCUGAUGCAGCAACGCCGCGUGAGGGACGACGGCCUUCGGGUUGUAAACCUCUUUUAGUAGGGAAGAAGCGAAAGUGACGGUACCUGCAGAAAAAGCACCGGCUAACUACGUGCCAGCAGCCGCCGUAACAC